rnacentral:rRNA from 1 species
CCUACGGGGCGCUGCAGUGGGGAAUAUUGGACAAUGGGCGAAAGCCUGAUCCAGCCAUGCCGCGUGUGUGAAGAAGGCCUUCGGGUUGUAAAGCACUUUCAGUGGGGAAGAAAGCCUUGGGGCUAAUACCCUCGAGGAAGGACAUCACCCACAGAAGAAGCACCGGCUAACUCCGUGCCAGCAGCCGCGGUAAUACGGAGGGUGCGAGCGUUAAUCGGAAUUACUGGGCGUAAAGCGCGCGUAGGCGGUCUGAUAAGCCGGUUGUGAAAGCCCCGGGCUCAACCUGGGAACGGCAUCCGGAACUGUCAGGCUAGAGUGCAGGAGAGGAAGGUAGAAUUCCCGGUGUAGCGGUGAAAUGCGUAGAGAUCGGGUGGAAUACCAGUGGCGAAGGCGGCCUUCUGGACUGACACUGACGCUGAGGUGCGAAAGCGUGGGUAGCAAACAGGAUUAGAUACCCCAGUAGUC